AGUAGUUUAUGAUGAUCAAAAGGGACUUAAUACUGAUACUGUAUGAUGUCAACCUUUUAUAUAUCUGAUGC
rnacentral:snoRNA from 1 species